UGUGACAGUGAUGAAUAUUUACCGCCCCAGUCUGAAUAUUGUGAUGAUUGGUGUUCUGAGUGUA